rnacentral:rRNA from 1 species
GAUGAACGCUGGCGGCGUGCCUAAUACAUGCAAGUCGAGCGAACGGACAAGAAGCUUGCUUCUCUGAUGUUAGCGGCGGACGGGUGAGUAACACGUGGAUAACCUACCUAUAAGACUGGGAUAACUUCGGGAAACCGGAGCUAAUACCGGAUGAUAUUUUGAACCGCAUGGUUCAAAAGUGAAAGACGGUCUUGCUGUCACUUAUAGAUGGAUCCGCGCUGCAUUAGCUAGUUGGUAAGGUAACGGCUUACCAAGGCAACGAUGCAUAGCCGACCUGAGAGGGUGAUCGGCCACACUGGAACUGAGACACGGUCCAGACUCCUACGGGAGGCAGCAGUAGGGAAUCUUCCGCAAUGGGCGAAAGCCUGACGGAGCAACGCCGCGUGAGUGAUGAAGGUCUUCGGAUCGUAAAACUCUGUUAUUAGGGAAGAACAUAUGUGUAAGUAACUGUGCACAUCUUGACGGUACCUAAUCAGAAAGCCACGGCUAACUACGUG